AACGAACGCUGGCGGCAGGCUUAACACAUGCAAGUCGAACGCCCCGCAAGGGGAGUGGCAGACGGGUGAGUAACGCGUGGGAACAUACCCAUCACUACGGAAUAACUCGGGGAAACUUGUGCUAAUACCGUAUACGACCGAGAGGUGAAAGAUUUAUCGGUGAUGGAUUGGCCCGCGUUGGAUUAGCUAGUUGGUAGGGUAAAGGCCUACCAAGGCGACGAUCCAUAGCUGGUCUGAGAGGAUGAUCAGCCACAUUGGGACUGAGACACGGCCCAAACUCCUACGGGAGGCAGCAGUGGGGAAUAUUGGACAAUGGGCGCAAGCUUGAUCCAGCCAUGCCGCGUGAGUGAUGAAGGCCUUAGGGUUGUAAAGCUCUUUCACCGGAGAAGAUAAUGACGGUAUCCGGAGAAGAAGCCCCGGCUAACUUCGUGCCAGCCGCCGCCGUAA
rnacentral:rRNA from 1 species